rnacentral:rRNA from 1 species
AUGAAGACAUUGGUCUUUUACACCCUCAAUGGCAUCAGCUUCAAUGCACAAGAUUUCUUCCUCCAGCAACUGGCUGCAUCUGGAUAUGACCUUUUUGGCCUGAAAUUCUAUGCUCCAUGGGUCAUGCGCCUCAUCAAGCUACAUUCUGCUAUCAACUAUCAGCCCAUUGCUCGCAAUCAUGUGAUCUUUCUACCAGAGGUUGAUAUGUCAGUUGAAGCCAUAUACCCUGAGCCUGCCAAGAAGCCUCUCUGUCUUCAAAAUGCUAAACACCAUAGCUUCACUCAGCCUAUGGAAGGAGUCCAAGCAGUAACUCGUGUCUAUCCAAUGGCUGGAAACACUCGUCUACCUCAUCGUGCACCAACUGAAGCUACCGAGAGCACAAUUGCCCAAAGAACUAAGAAGCACUCUUGCUUUGGAUACAUUUCGUUUGUUGAGUUGUAA